rnacentral:rRNA from 1 species
UACUCUUGACAUCCAGAGAACUUUCCAGAGAUGGAUUGGUGCCUUCGGGAACUCUGAGACAGGUGCUGCAUGGCUGUCGUCAGCUCGUGUUGUGAAAUGUUGGGUUAAGUCCCGUAACGAGCGCAACCCUUAUCCUUAUUUGCCAGCGAGUAAUGUCGGGAACUCUAAGGAGACUGCCGGUGACAAACCGGAGGAAGGUGGGGAUGACGUCAAGUCAUCAUGGCCCUUACGAGUAGGGCUACACACGUGCUACAAUGGCCGGUACAGAGGGCUGCAAACUCGCGAGAGUAAGCUAAUCUCACAAAACCGGUCGUAGUCCGGAUCGCAGUCUGCAACUCGACUGCGUGAAGUCGGAAUCGCUAGUAAUCGUGGAUCAGAAUGCCACGGUGAAUACGUUCCCGGGCCU